GCAACGGUAGGGAUCAUGUCCCUGUGCAACGUUUUUGCUGUCUGGGGUCAGGCGACCCUAGUCACCGUCUCCUCGGCCUCAACAACAGCCCCAUCUGUCUAUCCACUGGCUCCUGCAUGUGGAGGCACAACUGGCUCCACAGUGACCCUGGGAUGCCUGGUCAAAGGCUUUUUCCCUGAGCCGGCAACCGUAACCUGGAACUCUGGAAGCCUGACCAGCGGCGUGCACAUCUUCCCAGCAGUCCUGGAUUCUGGGCUCUACUCCCUCAGCAGCUCAGUGACUGUGCCCUCCAGCAUGUGGCCCAGUCAGACCGUCACCUGCAAUGUCGCCCACCCGGCCAGCAGCACCAAGGUGGACAAGAAAAUUGAGCGCAGAGAACAUGGACAGGUACCUGAUCUGUGUCCUAAGUGUGAGAAGUGUCCAGCUCCUGAUCUCUUGGGUGGACCAUCCGCCUUCAUCUUCCCCCCAAAGCCCAAGGAUGUGCUCAUGAUGUCCAGGGAGCCCAAGAUUACAUGUGUGGUGGUGGACGUGAGUGAGGAAGAACCAGAUGUCCAGUUCAGCUGGUUUGUGAACAAUAAAGAAGAGAAAACAGCUCAGACACAGCCCCGUGAGCCGCAGUACAACAGUACCUUCCGUGUGGUCAGUGUCCUCCCCAUCAAGCACAAUGACUGGAUGAGUGGCAAGGAGUUCAAAUGCAAGGUCAACAACAAAGCCCUCCCAAGCCCCAUUGAGAAAACCAUCUCAAAACCCAAAGGGCAAGUCCGAAUGCCACAGGUCUAUACCUUUCCUCCACCUGCGGAGCAGAUGACCAAGAAAGAGGUCAGUGUGACCUGCUUGGUCAUAGGCUUUCUCCCUGAGGACAUCCAUGUAGAGUGGCAGAGCAACGGGAAGGAAGAGCAGAACUACAGGAACACCCCACCUGUCUUGGACUCUGAAGGCUCUUACUUCAUGUACAGCAAGCUCACUGUGCCAAAGAGCAGGUGGGAUGGGGGAGAUAGCUUCACCUGCUUCGUGCUACAUGAGGCUCUGCACAGCCGCCAGACGACGAAGUCCAUCUCCCGGUCUCAGGGUAAAUGAGCUCAGCACCCGGAAAGCUCUUAGGUCCUGAGGGACACUGGCACCCUUCUCCACCCUUCCCUUAUAUAAAUAAAGCACCCAGUACUACCCUGGGACCCUCUGAA